rnacentral:lncRNA from 1 species
UGGGGGGUCCUGGAAGGGGUUUGGGGGGUCAUUCAUGUCCUGCUCUUCACCAUCCUCAACCCCAUCUACUCCAUCACCACGGUGGGUGAACCCUGGGAUUUGGGGGGAUUUUGGGGUCCCAGGUUGGUUUUUGGGGGUUCCAGGAUGAUUUUUGGGAUCCCAGGGUAUUUUGGGGGUCCCAGGGUAUUUUUGGGCUCUCAGGGUAUUUUUGGGCUCCCAGGUUGGUUUUUGGGGGUCCUGGGUUGGUUUCUGGGGGUCCCAGGUUGGUUUUUGGGGGUCCCAAGGUAUUUUUGGGCUCUCAGGGUAUUUUUGGGCUCCCGGGUUGGUUUCUGGGGGUGCCAGGUGGGUUUUUGGGGCUCCUGGCUUGGUUUCUGGGGGUGCCCGGUGGGUUUUUGGGGUGCCCCUGACCCCGCUGUGCCCGCAGGACGUUCUCUACACCAUCUGCAACCCGUGCGGGCCCGUGCAGAGGAUCGUCAUCUUCCGCAAGAACGGCGUCCAGGCCAUGGUGGAGUUCGACUCGGUGCAGAGCGCCCAGCGCGCCAAGGCCUCGCUCAACGGCGCCGACAUCUACUCGGGCUGCUGCACCCUCAAGAUCGAGUACGCCAAGCCCAGCCGGCUGAACGUGUUCAAGAACGACCAGGACACCUGGGACUACACCAACCCCAACCUGAGCGGGACAGGUAAAGCAGCACCUGGGCACACCUGGGCACACCUGGGGGUCACCUGGGCACACCUGGGGGUCACCUGUGCCCACCUAGGGGUCACCUGUGCCCAGCUAGGGGUCACCUGGGCACACCUGAGGGUUACCUGGGACCCACCUGUGCCUACCUGGGGGUCACCUGGUCACACCUGGGGGUCACCUGAGACCUACCUGGGCUCACCUGGGGGUCACCUGAGGCCCACCUGGGGUCGCCUGAGACCCACCUGGGCUUACCUGGGACUCACCUGAGACCCAGCUGGGCUCACAUGGGGGUCACCUGAGACCCACCUGGGGGUCACCUGUGCCCACCUGGGGCUCACUUGAGGCUCACCUGGGGGUCAGCUGGGCACACCUGGGGCUCACCUGUGUGUCCCCCCCCCC